GGCAACCACUAAGAUUAAUAAAGGAAACCUCAACUAAAGUUGGAGUCAUGAAGGCCUGUAGAGGGAGCCCUCAUGCCCUACUACCUAUCAUCAAUUAUCCCAACAGCAGGAUGUCAGUUACUGACCCCAACAGGAGGAUGUCAGUUACUGACCCCAACAGGAGGAGGUCAGUUAUUGACCCCAACAGGAGGAUGUCAGUUUUUGACCCCAACAGGAAGAUAUGAGUUACUGACUCCAAAAGGAAGAGGUCACUUACUGACCCUAACAGGAAGAGGUCCCCAAUAGGAAGAGACCUACCUUGCACUCCCCAACAGGAAGUGCAACUACUUUGCUGCUCCAGCAGGAGGAAGGAUGACUUCCUUCUUGCUCAGCAACAAGCUCAGCCAAUGAGAAGCCAUCAUCACCUGAGCAUUUACUUUCCCUCAAUGAACUUUCAUCUCUUCCUUGCUGAUGACUUCCUUUCCUUGUCUCACCCUCCGUACUAUAAAAACCUUUCAGGUGGUGUAACCCCUCAGAACAUCUCUCGGCUUGCCAGAUGAGAUGCUGCCCAAUUCAAGAAUCAGUUAACAGAACCAAUUAAAUCUUCAAAUUUACUCAGUUGAAUUUUGUUUCUUAACAUCUUACAUAUGAAGCAGUAUCAUAUUUGUUGGUGGACUCAGAUUAUUUUAACGUAUAUCGUGAGCUCUAGGGCAACUACCCAAAAAGGUUUUUUAAAAAAGAUUUAAUAGUAAGACAAUAGAAGAGAUAAAAUGGAAUAAUAAAAAAUGCUGAAUUAACCUGAAGAAGGCAGAAAAAGAAGGAAAAUAAAAAAAGAACAAAUGUGGCAAAUAUAAAACGGCUAGCAAGAUAACAGUUCUAAACACAUCAGUUAAAGACAGAUUGUCAGAAUGGAAGAAGCAGCGAUACACAACUAUAUGCUGUCUGUAAGGAGCCUGCGUGUACCCUUCUUGUCCCAUAAGAGGCUCCAUAUUUUCCUCCACCUGUCCCACAGGGGACACAUACAGCAGUGGGGGUGGCCAGGUGCCAUAUGACACACCUGCUUUAAUAGAACAAGGAGCAUUGGCUGCGUCUGAAACAGGGAAAGACAAGGUGACAAGUCCAGCACAGGCUGUGUGGCCCCUCAUCUCUCAGGGAGGAAGUGCUCCAGGCCCAUGGCCCACCCUCACGUGCCCGAGGAGGAGUCUGAAGUCAUCCUCUCCCAACAGCAUGUCCUCAGACCAUAGCGGAAUUAGACUUGAAAUCAAUAACGUGAAGAUACCCGACCUAGCUGGAAAUCGAACAACCGACCUCUAAACAACCCGUGCAUCCAAGAGGGAGUCUCAAUGGGAAAUGUAAAAAUAUUCUGAACUAAGGGAAAAUGAAAAUGCAUCGUAUCAGAAUCUGUGGGACACACCUAGGGAGCGCUGCUGGGACCUUCACAGCACUGACGCACGUGUCAGCAGAGAAAGACUCUGAUCGAUACGUAAACUUCUCCCCCAGGAAAACCAGGGAAAGAAGAGCUUUUGAUUAAAGCAAAUGCAAGCAGGAGGAGGGAAAUAAUGACUCGAGUAGAAACCGACGGAGUUGAAGACAGAAAAGUAGACAAUAUCAAUGAAGCCAAAGGCUGGUUCCAUGAACAAUCUGCACAGCUAGUGGACAUGUCGCCAGACUGACUGAGAGAAACGGAGAGAAGACACCAUGACCAGGCCCAGAAAUGAAAGCACGCCGUUGACGCUGAUCCACAGACAAUAGAAGGAGAGUAAGGAGACACUAUGAACAACUCUGUGCCCCUUAGAAAUCAGAUGAUGCUGCUCAGUGUCAGUGUGUUGUUGUCUUUCUUUGAAGAGUGUUGACGUUUGUCUCGGCAGCAGGUAAAUCUUGCAAACCAUUUGGACUUUUUACAGCUUGUUUUCUCGUCCUUGAUAGGGGACGUCUAGAGCUGCCUUCACCUCUGGGAUAAUCAGCCCUACUAAGGGAGGGUGACCCGGGCCUACCCUGGGUGCCCAGAACAGUCACCAUGUCUCCACGCUUGCUGGUCAGUCUCAAAUGGCUCUCAGUCCUGGUCGAGUCUGGCUCUUCAACUGACAACCUCACAGUCCUGCCCGGGUCCGCGUGUCUGUGGAGUCUCCCUCAUGGCAGGCACGGUCUACGCUCAGGAAGGACUCUGUGGCCCACUGUGUGUCCCUGCGGGUUCCCUUUUCCUGAAGCUGCUGCUUCUCUGGGACUCCUCCUUGCCACCACCACCGCCUGAUCCCCCUGAACUGAGUUCUCUCCCCAGAACUCGGGGCCAUCGGGCCCUUUCGAGGUUCCCUCCGGCACCCACAGCUCUCUGGCUCCAGGAAGACAGCUGGGGUGACACAGGGCUGCGCUCCAGUCCCCCUGCACUGCCUGUGGCCAUGACGGAGCUGUUUAGGGUGGGAGCUUUUGUCCCCUCAUUGUUACUCCAUUGUGACCAGAAGCAGAAGUCCAGUGGCUUCUUUUGAGGACCGAAAACCAUGAGUCUUCACUCUCUCUAAAUGGCUUUCUCCCUCAAUCCCUUUCACCUUAAAAGUUUGCAUUUCUAGAUUCUACAGGGAGUUUGAAACAUUACAAAUCUACUCAUCACGUCCACAUGACGGUUUGUGAAUUCUUUGAGCUUAAAAUAUUAAAAUCCAGUCGAUUUGAUAUUGAGGAAAAUGGACAAUUAGUCAAGACACUGUAUAAGCCAGUAGAUAUUUGUCCUAAAUCACAAAGACUGCUAACUGAUUUCGAGGCAAUAUGCCAGUAGUGGCAAAUGAUAGCCUGGAAUAGUGUUUUGUGUGUGUGUAUAGAAUGGAAAUUCAAUGAGUGUCUUAACGGUAACCUCUCCCAUGUACAAGAGAUUCACCAUUUCGUAUAUUCUCUUAAAGGCGGGGAACAGAUUCACGAUACGUUUGUCUUCAUGCUUUCCUCCCACCCCUUUCCCACUGAGAGGUCAGAGCAGUGACUGGAGAGACAACAGACUCAUUCUCCCCCCGAAAACCUGUCAGGUACCCCGUUGGCCCAGGAUCUGCACAGCUGCUUUAGGAUGCUGAGAGGGAUGUUUCCGAGGUGACUGUUUCAGCUGCCAUCUGCUCUGAGCUGUGGAGGCCGAAAUACCUGUCAAUAAAGCGACUUUGGGACUUUCUAUUACAAUCUAUUUGAAGCUUGGGAUCUUCAAGCACUUUUGUCUUAAGUGAAAAUAUUUAAACUCCCACUCGUCCUAAGACCCCAUCACCCCCACAGCUGCUACCUGCAGGUGAGGCUGGCUGUCCGAGAGUGGUGUCUGUGGGCUGCGCAAAGGAGGCUCUUUUCGUUUUCCGAGACGUGGAGGCUGCGACGCUGAGGCCUGGCGCGGGCAGGUGUCCGCUGUUGCCCAGAGGAGCGGUGACGGCGGGAGGCACCUUUUCUGCAGGAGGAGGGCUCUGCAUACAGCUGGUACUGCGUAAAUGAUUGACGCAAGGAGGAGAAAUGGUUGACCAGCAGAGGGAUGCAGGGUGGACAAGACACAGCCUCUGCUGCCCAGGCCAGAGGCCGAGAUGUCUGCCCUGACUGUCUGAGCCACACCCCUGAGCCUGAGGGCCCGCUUCUCUGCUGGGACCCCUGCAACCACUGCCCCGGCGAGAAGGCAGCCGUCUGCAAACCAGAAACAGAGCCCUCACCAGAACCGACAGCCGUGCCUCCUCCCUGAUCUUGGACUUCCAGCCUUCAGAACAGUGAGAAAUAAAUGGCUGUGGCUUCUGUUACAGCAGCCCGAGCUGACCCACACAGGUUUCUGCUGGCUUAUUUCUGUCUCCGGCCGGGACGCUCUGAGCGAGUGCUCAGGGACGACAUAGCCACAACCCAGCACAGACAGAAAAAGCUGUCUGAGAGAGGAGGGAGCAGCAGAGGGAGCCUCAUGGGCAGAUGAGGCCACAGAGCCAUGGCAUGAAACUGUGGCCCUCCCACGGGAGCCGCGGUGCAGAGGAGCAGCCGGGCAGCAGGCGUUUGCUUUCACGAUUGGGAGUCCCCACAGAGGCCGGGAGGGAAGGGAGAGUUCACUCCAUUUCAUCCACCAACACCAAGACCCAGGGCUCAGGCAGCCUCGUCAGUCUGCCCAGUUUGAAAAUGCACCCUUCUCAAUCCCUGGGUGCUUCCAGAACCUUCCACGGGGACUAACACAAUGGUCAUUAAACAGCGGAAAGAAUAAAGUCUGCAAUGCAUUGGAAAAUUCUGGACAGAGAGAAAAUGGGGAUGGCAGUUCCCCACUCCAGGGGGGAUCUCUCCAAUUCUGCCAUGGCCACAUAAGCUGAGGGUACAGGGGGCGUCAGAGGCAAGGAGCAUGUGCCCCUACAUGUUCAGAUGGAGGAGAG
rnacentral:lncRNA from 1 species